rnacentral:rRNA from 1 species
GAUGAACGCUGGCGGCGUGCCUAAUACAUGCAAGUCGAGCGAACGGACGAGAAGCUUGCUUUUCUGAUGUUAGCGGCGGACGGGUGAGUAACACGUGGAUAACCUACCUAUAAGACUGGGAUAACUUCGGGAAACCGGAGCUAAUACCUGCUAAUAUUUUGAACCUCAUUGUUCAAAAGUGAAAGACGUUCUUGCUGUCACUUAUAGAUGGAUCCGCGCUGCAUUAGCUAGUUGGUAAGGUAACGGCUUACCAAGUCAACGAUGCAUAGCCGACCUGAGAGGGUGAUCGGCGACAAUGGAACUGAGACAAGGUCCAGACUACUAAGGGAGGCAGCAGUAGGGAAUAUUCCGAAAUGGGCGAAAGCCUGACGGAGCCACGCCGCGUGAGUGAUGAAGGUCUUCGGAUCGUAAAACUCUGUUAUUAGGGAAGAACAUAUGUGUAAGUAACUGUGCACAUCUUGACGGUACCUAAUCAGAAAGCCACGGCUAACUACGUG